rnacentral:rRNA from 1 species
GAUGAACGCUGGCGGCGUGCCUAAUACAUGCAAGUCGAGCGAACAGACGAGGAGCUUGCUCCUCUGACGUUAGCGGCGGACGGGUGAGUAACACGUGGAUAACCUACCUAUAAGACUGGGAUAACUUCGGGAAACCGGAGCUAAUACCGGAUAAUAUAUUGAACCGCAUGGUUCAAUAGUGAAAGACGGUUUUGCUGUCACUUAUAGAUGGAUCCGCGCCGCAUUAGCUAGUUGGUAAGGUAACGGCUUACCAAGGCAACGAUGCGUAGCCGACCUGAGAGGGUGAUCGGCCACACUGGAACUGAGACACGGUCCAGACUCCUACGGGAGGCAGCAGUAGGGAAUCUUCCGCAAUGGGCGAAAGCUUGACGGAGCAACGCCGCGUGAGUGAUGAAGGUCUUCGGAUCGUAAAACUCGGUUAUUAGGGAAGAACAAAUGUGUAAGUAACUAUGCACGUCUUGACGGUACCUAAUCAGAAAGCCACGGCUAACUACGUG